rnacentral:tRNA from 11 species
UCCUCUUUAGCUCAGUUGGUAGAGCGCUCGGCUGUUAACCGAUAGGUCGUUGGUUCGAGUCCAACAAGAGGAGCCA